CGCAGCGAAAGCUGUGCUAAUACCGCAUGAGACCACAAGAUCGCAUGGUCAAGGGGUCAAAGGAGCAAUCCGGUGAAGGGUGGGCUCGCGUCUGAUUAGCUAGUUGGCGGGGUAACGGCCCACCAAGGUAACGAUCAGUAGCCGACCUGAGAGGGUGAUCGGCCACACUGGGACUGAGACACGGCCCAGACUCCUACGGGAGGCAGCAGUGGGGAAUAUUGGGCAAUGGGCGAAAGCCUGACCCAGCAACGCCGCGUGAGGGAAGAAGGUUUUCGGAUCGUAAACCUCUGUCCUUGGUGAAGAGUAAGAGACGGUAGCCAAGGAGGAAGCCCCGGCUAACUACGUGCCAGCAGCCGCGGUAAUACGUAGGGGGCGAGCGUUGUCCGGAAUGAUUGGGCGUAAAGGGCGCGUAGGCGGCCUGUUAAGUCUGGAGUGAAAUUCCUGCUUUCAAGGUAGGAAGUGCUUUGGAAACUGGCGGGCUGGAGUGCAGGAGAGGUUAGCGGAAUUCCCGGUGUAGCGGUGAAAUGCGUAGAGAUCGGGAGGAACACCAGUGGCGAAGGCGGCUAACUGGACUGUAACUGACGCUGAGGCGCGAAAGUGUGGGGAGCAAACAGGAUUAGAUACCCUGGUAGUCCACACUGUAAACGAUGAAUGCUAGGUGUAGGGGGUAUCGACCCCUUCUGUGCCGGAGUAAACACAAUAA
rnacentral:rRNA from 1 species